GAUGAACGCUGGCGGCGUGCCUAAUACAUGCAAGUCGAGCGAACAGACGAGGAGCUUGCUCCUCUGACGUUAGCGGCGGACGGGUGAGUAACACGUGGAUAACCUACCUAUAAGACUGGGAUAACUUCGGGAAACCGGAGCUAAUACCGGAUAAUAUAUUGAACCGCAUGGUUCAAUAGUGAAAGACGGUUUUGCUUUCACUUAUAGAUGGAUCCGCGCCGCAUUAGCUAGUUGGUAAGGUAACGGCUUACCAAGGCAACGAUGCGUAGCCGACCUGAGAGGGAGAUCGGCCACCCUGGAACUGAGACACGGUCCAGACUCCUACGGGAGGCAGCAGUAGGGAAUCUUCCGCAAUGGGCGAAAGCCUGACGGAGCAACGCCGCGUGAGUGAUGAAGGUCUUCGGAUCGUAAAACUCUGUUAUUAGGGAAGAACAAAUGUGUAAGUAACUAUGCACGUCUUGACGGUACCUAAUCAGAAAGCCACGGCUAACUACGUG
rnacentral:rRNA from 1 species